GAUAAAAGUCUUCAACUUUGUGAAUAAUCUUCAAAAACUCUUCUGGGUGCUCAGAUUUCCACUUGGUGACCCAGAAGCCAUGAAAUUUUAGAUUUUUAAAUAUCAAUAAAGACACCGGGACAGGUAGAGGCUGACGAGACAUUCCUCCAAAGGUUGCCAUAGUGGCUCCUUUGGACAUGUACUUGGCCAUUUCAGCCGCUACACGUCCACUAACACAGUCAAUACCCAGUUUUACCUCUCCCCCUUGAAUCCAUUCAGGGACCUUUUGCUUCAUGGUUUUGCGAUCCAUCAGCUCUUCAUCAGUAAUGACGAUAGUAGCACCCAAGGACUUAAGUUGCUCCUUUAACUUUUCAAUAUCGGGACGAUUUCGGACAACGUUAAUACUUUUGUAGCCAAAGUGUUUUGCUAAUUGAAUCGUUGCAAUUCCAACCAUACUAUUUGCGCCAUCCUGA